rnacentral:rRNA from 1 species
UACGAAGGGGGCUAGCGUUGCUCGGAAUCACUGGGCGUAAAGGGCGCGUAGGCGGCGUUUUAAGUCGGGGGUGAAAGCCUGUGGCUCAACCACAGAAUUGCCUUCGAUACUGGGACGCUUGAGUGUGGUAGAGGUUGGUGGAACUGCGAGUGUAGAGGUGAAAUUCGUAGAUAUUCGCAAGAACACCGGUGGCGAAGGCGGCCAACUGGACCAUUACUGACGCUGAGGCGCGAAAGCGUGGGGAGCAAACAGG